UGAGGAAUAUUGGUCAAUGGGGGCAACCCUGAACCAGCCAAGUCGCGUGAAGGAUGAAGGUCUUAUGGAUUGUAAACUUCUUUUAUACAGGAAUAAAGUGGGGGACGUGUCCCCCUUUGCAUGUACCGUGUGAAUAAGGAUCGGCUAACUCCGUGCCAGCAGCCGCGGUAAUACGGAGGAUCCGAGCGUUAUCCGGAUUUAUUGGGUUUAAAGGGUGCGCAGGCGGGAUGUUAAGUCGGCGGUGAAAUUUUGCAGCUCAACUGUAAAAGUGCCUUCGAUACUGGCCUCCUUGAGUGUGGAUGAAGUAGGCGGAAUUUGUGGUGUAGCGGUGAAAUGCUUAGAUAUCACGAGGAACUCCGAUUGCGCAGGCAGCUUACUAAGCCACAACUGACGCUCAUGCACGAAGGCGUGGGGAUCAAACA
rnacentral:rRNA from 1 species